rnacentral:rRNA from 1 species
GCAGCAGGCACGCAAAUUACCCAUUUCCAGAACGGAGAGGUAGUGACAAAAAAUAACGAUACGGGACUCUAUUGAGGCCCCGUAAUCGGAAUGAGUACACUUUAAAUCCUUUAACAAGGAUCCAUUGGAGGGCAAGUCUGGUGCCAGCAGCCGCGGUAAUUCCAGCUCCAAUAGCGUAUAUUAAAGUUGUUGCAGUUAAAAAGCUCGUAGUUGGUUUUGCGUGCCACGCUGCCGGUUCGCCGCCUGUCGGUGCAACUGGCACGCUGUGGCUCGUCCUGUCGGUGGUGAACGGGUCCCAGGCGUGUGGUCUUUGGUCUCGGCCGAAGCCGCUGCCGUGGGCAAACGUUUUGCCGAAACCCUGCCCGGUGCUCUUAAACGAGUGUCGAGGUAGGCCGACAAAUUCACUUUGAACAAAUUAGAGUGCUUCAAGCAGGGCUAAGAUUCCAGCCUGAAUAGUGGUGCAUGGAAUAAUGAAAUAGGACCUCGGUUCUGUUUUGUUGGUUUUUGGAACACAAGGUAAUGAUCAAUGUGGACAGGCGGGGGCAUACGUAUUGCGGCGUAGAGGGAAAUUCUUGGAUCGUCGCAAGACGCACUAUAGCGAAAGCAUUUGCCAAGUAUGUCUUAAUUGAUCAAGAAACGAAAGUUAGAGGUUCGAAGGCGAUCAGAUACCGCCCUAGUUCUAACCAUAAACGAUGCCAGCCAGCGAUCCGACGUGUUCCUACUACGACACGUGCGGGCAGCUUUUCCCCGGGAAACCAAAGCUCUUGGGUUCCGGGGGAAGUAUGGUUGCAAAGCUGAAACUUAAAGGAAUUGACGGAAGGGCACCACCAGGAGUGGAGCCUGCGGCUUAAUUUGACUCAACACGGGAAACCUCUCCAGGUCAGGACAUUGGGAGGAUUGAGCAGAUUGACAGCUCUUUCUUGAUUCAGUGGGUAGUGGUGCAUGGCCG